rnacentral:rRNA from 1 species
GACGUAGGGCGCGAGCGUUGUCCGGAUUUACUGGGCGUAAAGGGCGCGUAGGCGGUCGUGACAAGUCACUUGUGAAAUCUCCGGGCUUAACUCGGAACGGUCAAGUGAUACUGUCGGACUAGAGUGCAGAAGGGGCAACUGGAAUUCUCGGUGUAGCGGUGAAAUGCGUAGAUAUCGAGAGGAACACCUGCGGCGAAGGCGGGUUGCUGGGCUGACACUGACGCUGAGGCGCGAAAGCGUGGGUAGCAAACGGG